rnacentral:rRNA from 1 species
ACGGAGGGGGCUAGCGUUGUUCGGAAUCACUGGGCGUAAAGCGCACGUAGGCGGCGUGUUUAGUGGGGGGUGAAAGGCCUGGGCUCAACCCGGGAACUGCCUUUGAUACUGGAAGACUUGAGUCCGAGAGGGGAUGGUGGAACUCCCAGUGUAGAGGUGAAAUGCGUAGAUAUUAGGAAGAACACCGGUGGCGAAGGCGACCAUCUGGAUCGGGACUGACGCUGAGGUGCGAAAGCGUGGGGAGCAAACAG